GCUUUGAUAAUUAAGAUGGCGUUGCAGGUGUGUCUUCAGUCAGCACAGGAAGACGCCAACACAGUUCUUCAACCGCUUCAUUAGUUUCAAGUUUCUUUUGUUACCUGUAACUAUUAUUUAAUCAUCAUCACUGAUGACGUCAGACUGGAGCCAAUCUGCCACAAGCAACAUUUCAAACAUGCCUUGAAUGCGUCGCAGAUGUCUCUUUCGUCAGACUGGAGCCAAUUUGCCACAAGCAACAUUAUAAACAUGGAUGUGGAUUUUAACAUUGAGACCUACUGUACAAAAGCUGCUGCUACUCCUUCUUCAAACUAUUGCUCCUUACCCGAGGCCAAAAAUUUUAACUAUUGUUAUUAGGGGUGUCAUGAUUCUCCAAAUCCACGAUUCAUCUUUGAAUUGUUGUUUUUUUUCCUUUGGACGCACGCAAAUAGAGAAAGAGAGAGAGAGAGAAAGAAAGAAAAAUACUGGGAGAAUCACCGAUCCUGCUUUUGAUUGCUGCUUUUGGAAGCUAAUUUCGAUCGAUUUCCGAUUUAGAAUCAAAAUCGUGACAUCCCCAAUUGUUAUAUUCAUAUUGCUUUGUUUGCAUUUGUUUUGUAAAUACAAACUUCAGAACACUUUUAAAAAAAAAA